GGGAGCUUGCUCCCUGAUGUUAGCGGCGGACGGGUGAGUAACACGUGGGUAACCUGCCUGUAAGACUGGGAUAACUCCGGGAAACCGGGGCUAAUACCGGAUGGUUGUUUGAACCGCAUGGUUCAAACAUAAAAGGUGGCUUCGGCUACCACUUACAGAUGGACCCGCGGCGCAUUAGCUAGUUGGUGAGGUAACGGCUCACCAAGGCAACGAUGCGUAGCCGACCUGAGAGGGUGAUCGGCCACACUGGGACUGAGACACGGCCCAGACUCCUACGGGAGGCAGCAGUAGGGAAUCUUCCGCAAUGGACGAAAGUCUGACGGAGCAACGCCGCGUGAGUGAUGAAGGUUUUCGGAUCGUAAAGCUCUGUUGUUAGGGAAGAACAAGUACCGUUCGAAUAGGGCGGUACCUUGACGGUACCUAACCAGAAAGCCACGGCUAACUACGUGCCAGCAGCCGCGGUAAUACGUAGGUGGCAAGCGUUGUCCGGAAUUAUUGGGCGUAAAGGGCUCGCAGGCGGUUUCUUAAGUCUGAUGUGAAAGCCCCCGGCUCAACCGGGGAGGGUCAUUGGAAACUGGGGAACUUGAGUGCAGAAGAGGAGAGUGGAAUUCCACGUGUAGCGGUGAAAUGCGUAGAGAUGUGGAGGAACACCAGUGGCGAAGGCGACUCUCUGGUCUGUAACUGACGCUGAGGAGCGAAAGCGUGGGGAGCGAACAGGAUUAGAUACCCUGGUAGUCCACGCCGUAAACGAUGAGUGCUAAGUGUU
rnacentral:rRNA from 1 species